UAUAAAUAUUUUUAAAAUUUUUUAAAUUUUAUUAUUUUUUACAAGGACGUGGUCUCAUUAUGUUGCCCAGGCUGGAUCGCAGUGGCUAUUCGCAGUUGCAAUCAGCACACUGCAGCCUCGAAUUUCUGGGCUUGAGUGAUCCUCCUGUCUCAGCCUCCUGGGUGGCUGAGACUACAGGUGCACAACACCAACCCUGGUUUUAUGUAUUUAUUUCUGUUCAUGUGGAAUGAUUGGUUCAGAACUGUUCCUUUCCCUUCCAUGAUGUCCUUGACACAGAAGGUCAUGCCUGGCUCGCAGUCAGGCUUCAUACUUUUGGUCCAUGUAAGUGCUGCCCGUUGCUGGGGGAGGAGUCAUUAUUUAUUUGGAAUUGUCAGUUGCAAUCAUGGUUCUGUCAUUUGACUGCACAGUAUCAGAGGAGCCUGUUAACCUCUCUGUGCCUUAGUUUCUUAGCCCAUGAAAGAGAUCAUUGCCUGACCCAGGGACUACCUCAAGGGCUUUUGGUGAGGACAAGUGACAGUAGGAAGAUGCAAGAACCUUUAGUACCAAGGUUCUCAACACUGACUACAUGCUCGAAUGACUUGUGAAGCUUUUAAAACAUGUUAGUGCCCACUCUUCCCUUCUCUGCCCGGCCAGUGAAAUCAGAACCUCAGACAGCAAUAUGCCUUGAGAUGCCUUGAACCACACUUGAGAAGGAAGGACAAACACAUUAUUACCUUGGAAGAAUUGCAUGAGGCUUAUGACUUAAAAAAAAAAAUUCUUUUUGGAAACACAAGCAUUUCUUUAAGAAUGACCAGAUGUUGCCACAUGUAUUUAUGACGCAAGCAGGUGUUAUCUAAGCAGUUUCUCUGUUUGCUUGUCGUAGCGGCAUUUGGAAACUCGAACAUGCUUUCAUUUACGUAAAUAGUUUAUGGAGCUUUGACAACAAAUGUAAACAGACAUGAAAUUAUAAAUCUGCUAAAUGUGUAUUAAGGGGUGUUAAUUAUUGAGAGAAAGUCCCCUUCCCCCACACUGAACUCCUAUGGCAAUUAUGAACUCCAUUUUACCAAGAACAUUUAAGUGCCUCAGCAUCUGUGUGAUGUAGUGGAGCAGGUGCUGGCAUAGGUACCAGCUGACAUGAUGUGUCACUAGCUCUGCGGGAUGAUUGCCACAUACAUGGAACACCUGGGAGUGCUGGAAAUGUACUGGGAUUGAAGCUUCCAAGUGUGUUUGCACUCACAGUGGAGGCUACAUCAAGCAAGGGGAGGUCCAGCCCUCUUGCAGGCGUGGUGAGAGGUUCUACUAGCAAAGACACAGGCGCCGGAGUGGGUCCCAUGUAGCAUGCGGGUGCUAUAGAGAAAAUUCGGUGAUAUACAUGGCUCUGAUCCUGGACACAAAAUCUGUACUGGAGAGGAAAUGACUGCUGAAAUAAGGCAAUUGUAUGAAUAUUUAAAAUGCCUGGAAUACUAAAGUAAAGUAAUGAUAUUUCAAGUG